CGGUAAUACGUAGGGUGCAAGCGUUAAUCGGAAUUACUGGGCGUAAAGCGUGCGCAGGCGGUUUUGUAAGACAGUGGUGAAAUCCCCGGGCUCAACCUGGGAACUGCCAUUGUGACUGCAAAGCUAGAGUGCGGCAGAGGGGGAUGGAAUUCCGCGUGUAGCAGUGAAAUGCGUAGAUAUGCGGAGGAACACCGAUGGCGAAGGCAAUCCCCUGGGCCUGCACUGACGCUCAUGCACGAAAGCGUGGGGAGCAAACAGGAUUA
rnacentral:rRNA from 1 species